GGUCUAGGAUGCUGGAAUGCACUUAGUCUGAAAACUCCGGUGCCUAAGGAUGAAUCUGCGGACUAUCAGGUUGUAGUCAGGGUAAUGACCUGACUAGCCUAUGACGGAUAUGGGUUGUGGGAGCAAUAACCCAGAGAUGAUAUCUGAGACACGAUAUCAGGCCCUACGGGGCGCAGCAGGCGCGAAAACUUCGCAAUGUGCGAAAGCACGACGAGGGAAUCCCAAGUGCUUGCACGUAAGUGUAAGCUGUUUCUCUGUUUAAAACGCAGAGAGAGUAAGGGCUGGGUAAGACGGGUGCCAGCCGCCGCGGUAAUACCUGCAGCUCAAGUGGUGGCCGUUAUUAUUGGGCCUAAAACGUCCGUAGCCGGUUUAUUAAAUGCCUGGGUAAAUCGGACCGCUUAACGGUUCGAAUUCCGGGUAGACUGAUAAACUUGAGACCGGGAGAAGUUAGAGGUACUCCUGGGGUAGAGGUGAAAUUCUGUAAUCCUAGGGGGACCACCAGUGGCGAAAGCGUCUAACUAGAACGGGUCUGACGGUGAGGGACGAAGCCCUGGGGCGCAAACGGGAUUAGAUACCCCGGUAGUCCAGGGUGUAAACGCUGCUUGCUUGAUGUUAGUCGGGCUCCGAGCCCGAUUAGUGUCGGAG
rnacentral:rRNA from 1 species